rnacentral:rRNA from 1 species
UACGUAGGGGGCAAGCGUUGUCCGGAAUCAUUGGGCGUAAAGCGCGUGUAGGCGGCCAGAAAAGUCCGCUGUGAAAACUCGAGGCUCAACUUCGAGCUGUCGGUGGAAACUUUCUGGCUAGAGUCCGGAAGAGGAGAAUGGAAUUCCUGGUGUAGCGGUGAAAUGCGCAGAUAUCAGGAGGAACACCGGUGGCGAAGGCGGUUCUCUGGGCCUUACCUGACGCUGAGGAGCGAAAGCGUGGGGAGCGAACAGG